rnacentral:lncRNA from 1 species
CUAGAGUGGGCUGGAGUUGGGUAUUUCCCUUCCUCCAUAUGGAAAGCUAGAGCUGACUGGAGUUGGCUAUUCCUUCCACCAAGUCAGUUAGGUUGGGAUAAAACCGCAGCAGGUUUGACUCUGGUCACACUAGUUUCUCCUGAGGGUAGGCCUUUUCAUUUAUUUAUUUAUUUUAGGAUAGCCCUUUUUAAAAGAAUAGAAUGCUCUGGUAUAUUUCAAACUGACUGCUUUUCCACACCCCCUGCUGAAAGCACAAGAGAAUUUUUCUCUAAUAUUUACUGUGAGAACCUGGUGGAGCUCCUGGAAGUAAAUCUUACAAAAUUUUGCCCUCACCUCUCAUGACUGGAUCCUGUAUAAUUUUUGUCCACAAUGAGCCUCUCUAGCAAUUCAUCAAUUACAGUUGAGGUUUUCCUACCCCAGCACUGCUUCGCUUGGUUGUUUCUGCUCAUGAGUCUCUGCUCUGUAAGACAUCCAUAGACCAAGAAGGGGUCCUCUUCACAGCACACCAGAACAUCUGAGAGAUCCAUACAUCUAUAAUUCUGAAGGUCUUGUCAGACUUUGAGUACAUCCAAUUUUUUUGUCAGACCACAAGAAGAGAAGAAAAGUUGACUUCAUUAUAUAAGGCCAGUCGCAGGCCCAGUCACAGGAGCAAAGAAGGUAGAAGAAAGAUUUUUUUCCUCCUUCACAGCUAUAGAGACCAUGAAGGGACAAUAUCAGCUGGAACAACCUGCUCACUUUGGAGACUGCAGCUAAGAUCUCGGGAUGCCUGAUAAAGCUGGCAAAAGAUAAAAAUGCUUAGGAAGAGACUAGAGACAGGAAUUUUCAUCAACAUCAUCCUGACCACCUGUGACAAUGAGAGUGCUUUCCAUGGCGGC